rnacentral:rRNA from 1 species
UACGAAGGUGGCAAGCGUUACUCGGAAUUACUAGGCGUAAAGGGCAGGUAGGUGGUUCGAUAAGUCUGUUGUGAAAGCUCCCGGCUCAACUGGGAGAGGCCAACAGAAACUAUCGGACUUGAGUUUGGGAGAGGUUACUGGAAUUCCCGGUGUAGCGGUGAAAUGCGCAGAGAUCGGGAGGAACACCAAUGGCGAAAGCAGGUAACUGGACCAAUACUGACACUCAACUGCGAAAGCUAGGGGAGCAAACAGG